GCCGGUCAUCGCGCCGACGCUAAACACGGCGACGACGACGACGACGGCUGGGCGGAUGUUGGAGU
rnacentral:ribozyme from 1 species